rnacentral:rRNA from 1 species
AAGGAAUUGACGGAAGGGCACCACCAGGCG